rnacentral:lncRNA from 1 species
AUAAUGCUCUGUGUACCAUAACAUUCAGCAGAAGCUCUUUAGUUUAAUUACAUCCCAUUUGUCAAUUUUGGCUUUUGUUGCAAUUGCUCAAUCUCACCACACAUGACCAUCACCUGGAGAGCUUCACAAUACGGGUGCCUAGUCUCAUAUCUUGAGGUUCUGAUUUAAAUGUUCCAGGGUGUAGCCUAGGAACUGGGAUUGUUAAAAGCUGCUGCAAAGAAGAAUAAACUUUUUUUUCCUUUUUAGCCUUUAUUCUUAUGUAAUAUAAACAUUUGUAUUAUUCUUGAACAGAAACAUUUAAUUAAAUGCUAUAAAUUUUCCUUUAUAUCACUUUAGCUGCACCCCACAGUUAUAUGUGAUAUGUUCAUUUAAUUUUUUCUUUUCUUUAACAAAGCAAUAUUUAUUAAUAACAAAAGUAUUUUCUUACUUUUUAUUUGAUUUAUAACUGUCAUAAAUAUAGGUCUGGACAAAGCAAAAUUGCCUUUGAAUUUCCAAUGUCUCUUUUUGCUAAAUAGUACAUAUUAAACAAAACAUAAUAUGUAUACAAUAUAAAAAAUAGAAAUGUCACUUAUAAAGUUUAUAUAAAAUAAUAUUUACAAAGCACUAUUCUGAGAACUAAGUUUCAUCAAGCUUUUAUUUUGAAAUUGGAUUCUCAAGUGUCUUCAGUUCUUAAGAUGAUAAUGAAUGAGAUUAAAAUUUCUUUUGAAGACAGACCAUUUUUUUUAAGUCCAAAAUUUCUGGAAGUCCAACAGUUGGUUCAUUUGAAAUUUGAAUUAGCCUUGAAGAAACUCAGAUUUGUUUUUGAAAGGUGACGUUGAACAAAAAUACUCCAGCCUAUGGAGGAGGGUUCUUAAGUGCUUUUUAGAAGCACGGACAAGAAUGAACCUCAUAUUGGAGUGGGAGGUAGAGAACAGACACAGUCUGAAUAGAAGAAAAGGGUUCUAUUUUCAGACCCCUGGAGAAUGACAGAAGGGAGCCCCAGCCAUGGCAGUGCUUGGAAAAUCUUGCAAUGUGAUGGUUCCUACAUCAUCUUCUGGUAAAUGAAUCAUUCUUACUAUUUCAGUCAUCAUCCCCUCUAGUCUUAAGGGUUUAGAUCUCUCCUUAUUUACUUCUUUUACAGAAGAAAUUACUUCCUCCUUCAGGACUGAGUUGGUCUCUUCAACUUUAUGUAUGCGUCCACAAGACUUUGUAUCUUUUACGAUUCCUUUUCUAGGCUGGUAUCUUCUAAAAAUUACUCAAUAUCUAAAUAUUCCUUUUGAUCAGAACUAAGUAUGCCAAGAAAUGGAUGCUUCAUCAGAACUGGUGCAGCCAGUAUUUGCAGAACCUGCAUUUUCUUUCCCAAAAGUCAGCUUCUAGCCUAAUGCAUAAAUCUGAACAAAUAUGAGAGACCCACCAAAAAGCCAAUAACAGAUAUACACACCACUGACUUCCACUGGAGACUACUGUAGUCAAUGCCUAGCCUCAUGUCAUCUGGAAGCAGCUCUGCUACCACUUUUUGUGACUUCCCCAGGAUCAGCUGAAAGCCAGGCUCCAUAGUGGUUCACAAUGCCUGCAUGGCACUGAAGCCCCCAACAGAAUUCCAGUGGGUAACCAUAGCUCCCAUAGCCUACAACAAACUGCUCAGAAUCCCACCGUGUUCUGCCUGGAACCCACCCACCCAUGUCUGGCAAACUAAAUCAAUAACAAACGAGCCAGUCCAAGUGGAGGAUAGACGAAGUCUCACUCGGUCACCUAGGCUGGAGUACAGUGGUGUGAUCUCAGCUUACUGCAACCUCCACCUCCCAGACUCAAGCAGUCCUCCAACUUCAGCCUCCCGAGUAACUGGGACUACAGGCAUGCACCACCAUGCUAGGCUAACUUUUUUGUAUUUUUUAGUAAAGACAGAGUUUCACCAUGUUGGCCAGGCUGGUCUCAAAUUCCAGACCUCAAGUGAUUCACCAGCCUAAGCCUCCCAAAGUGCUAAAAUUACAGGUCAUGUUGCAAUGUGGAACUGUGGACCAGAGAGAGAUUAAGUGAGCUCAUCAAGA